rnacentral:lncRNA from 1 species
AUAUUUGAUACGAGAACUCACUGCCUAUAGUAGCCACUUUGGUUGUGCGGCGGAUAUGGAGACGGGACGGUGUAAGGAGGGCGGGGCAUAGAUCCAGGUUGCUGAGCAGGUGCAUUAUAGUAUGGGCCUCUCCAUCCAGGAUAUGCAGGUUGGCCAUACUCAUGGCUCACAGCUGGCUGCUGGUGUUGUGGGGGUGGGUAUGCAUGACCCGAACCAGGCAUGUGAUAGGGAGGUGCUGACUGUUGGGGCAUUGGAGGUUGCUGAGAGACAUAGGGCGGCGGAGCAUGAGAAUAUGCAGGCAUUGUCGA